rnacentral:rRNA from 1 species
GGAGGGGGCUAGCGUUGUUCGGAUUUACUGGGCGUAAAGGGCGCGUAGGCGGUAUGCCAUGUCAGGGGUGAAAGGCCUGGGCUCAACCCAGGAACUGCCUUUGAAACUGGCAAACUAGAGUCCGAUAGAGGAUGGCGGAAUUCCCAGUGUAGAGGUGAAAUUCGUAGAUAUUGGGAAGAACACCAGUGGCGAAGGCGGCCAUCUGGAUCGGCACUGACGCUGAGGCGCGAAAGCGUGGGGAGCAAACAGGGAUUAGAUACCCUGGUAGUCCACGCCGUAAACGAUGUGUGCUAGACGUUGGGGGGCCCUUAGGCCCCUGGGUGUCGCAGCUAACGCGUUAAGCACACCGCCUGGGGGAGUACGGCCGCAAGGUUA